GAUGAAGAACGUAGCGAAAUGCGAUAAGUAAUGUGAAUUGCAGAAUUCAGUGAAUCAUCGAAUCUUUGAACGCACAUUGCGCCCGCCAGUAUUCUGGCGGGCAUGCCUGUUCGAGCGUCAUUACAACCCUCAGGCCCCCGGGCCUGGCGUUGGGGGUCGACGGAAGCCCCCUGUGGGCACACGCCGUCCCUCAAAUACAGUGGCGGUCCCGCCGCAGCUUCCAUUGCGUAGUAGCUAACACCUCGCAACUGGAGAGCGGCGCGGCCAUGCCGUAAAACACCCAACUUCUGAAUGUUGACCUCGAAUCAGGUAGGAAUACCCGCUGAACUUAAGCAUAUCAAUAAGCGGAGGA
rnacentral:misc_RNA from 1 species